UACGAAGGGGGCUAGCGUUGUUCGGAUUUACUGGGCGUAAAGCGCACGUAGGCGGAUUGGUCAGUUAGGGGUGAAAUCCUGGAGCUCAACUCCAGAACUGCCUUUAAUACUGCCAGUCUCGAGUCCGGAAGAGGUAAGUGGAACUCCUAGUGUAGAGGUGGAAUUCGUAGAUAUUAGGAAGAACACCAGUGGCGAAGGCGGCUUACUGGUCCGGUACUGACGCUGAGGUGCGAAAGCGUGGGGAGCAAACAGGAUUAGAACCGUACG
rnacentral:rRNA from 1 species